UCACCGCUUGCGCGGGCAGUCCUAUUAGAGUCCCCGGCAUUACCCGUUGGCAACUAACAGUAGGGGUUGCGCUCGUUGCAGGACUUAACCUAACACCUCACGGCACGAGCUGACGACAGCCAUGCAGCACCUAGUUUCGUGUCCUUGCGGACUUACCCUUUUCGGGGUAAUUCACUAACUUUCAAGCCCAGGUAAGGUUCCUCGCGUAUCAUCGAAUUAAACCACAUGCUCCUCCGCUUGUGCGGGCCCCCGUCAAUUCCUUUGAGUUUCAAUCUUGCGAUCGUAUUCCCCAGGUGGAUUACUUAAUGCUUUCGCUUAGACGCUGACAGUGUAUCGCCAACAUCGAGUAAUCAUCGUUUAGGGCGUGGACUAC
rnacentral:misc_RNA from 1 species